rnacentral:sRNA from 1 species
GUCUACCUGCGCGAGGAGUUCAAAGACGGGGAUGAAUGGAAAAAACGAUGGGUGCAGUCUAAACAUCAGCCAGAUUAUGGUAAAUUUCAGCUCGCUGCAGGAAAAUUUUAUGGAGACAAAGAAAAAGAUAAAGGUCUCCAAACCAGUGAACAUGCCAAGUUUUAUGCCUUCUCAACCAGGUUGAAGCAUUCAGCAAUGAGAAUGAGACCUUGGUGUUUCAGUUUUCAGUAAAACACAAGCAAAGGAAGUAUUGUGGUGGCGGAUAUGUAAAACUCUUUCCUGCCACCCUGAACCAGGAGGAUAUGCACUCAGGACCCAAGUAUUACAUCAUGUUUGGCCCUGACGUUUGUGGCUUUGGCAACAACAAAGUACAGGUCAUCCCUCAUUACCGAGAGAAAUACCAUGAGAACAAGACCAUCAAGUGCAGGAUCAAUAAAGACCCUCACCUGUACACUCUGAUUAUUCGCCCCAAUGCUACUUAUGAGGUUAAAAUUGACAACCAGCAGGUGGCAGCUGGGGCUCUGGAGGAGGACUGGGACUUCUUGCCUCCCAGGAAAAUAAAAGACCCUAUGCCCAGAAACCAAAGAAAUGGGAUGAACGCCUGCACAUAGAGGAUCUGGAAGACAAGAAACCUGAGAUCAGAGGGCAUUUGGCUGGGAAGCAGGACUGGGAAGACUUUGAAUACAUCCUGGAUCCAGAAGCCAAGAAGCCAGAUAACUGGAAUGAGGCUAUGGAUGGGGAGUGGGAAAGGCCUCUGAUACCAAAUCCGAAGUAUAAGGGAGAACGGAAACCUUGGAUCAUUGAAAAUCCCAAUUACCAGGGGGAGUAGAUUCAUCCCAAAAUAGACAACCCUAAAUAUAAGCCUGACGCCACCAUUUGUCACUAUUAUAACAUUAGUGUUCUCAGCCUGGACCUUUGGCAGGUAAAGCCCUCUGGGCUCAGAGCC